GCAUAUCAAUAAGCGGAGGAAAAGAAACCAACAGGGAUUGCCUCAGUAACGGCGAAGUGAAGCGGCAAAAGCUCAAAUUUGAAAUCUGGCACCUCUGGGUGUCCGAAGUUGUAAUUUGGAGAGGAUACUUCGGGCAUGGUUGCAGCAUAAGUCCCUUGGAACAGGGUGUCAUAGAGGGUGAGAAUCCCGUCUUAAGUUGUUAACCAUGUCCAUGCGAAGUUCCUUCGACGAGUCGAGUUGUUUGGGAAUGCAGCUCUAAGUGGGUGGUAAAUUUCAUCUAAAGCUAAAUAUUGGCCAGAGACCGAUAGCGAACAAGUAGAGUGAUCGAAAGGUUAAAAGCACCUUGAAAAGGGAGUUAAAUAGCACGUGAAAUUGUUGAAAGGGAAGCGCUUGCAACCAGACUCGGUCACAGGGGCUCAGCAGGCAUGCGUGUCUGUGUACUCCCCUGUGUUCGGGCCAGCAUCAGUUCUGGCGGUUGGUUAAAGGCCCUUGGAAUGUAUCGUCCUCCGGGACGCCUUAUAGCCAAGGGUGUAAUGCGGCCAGCCGGGACUGAGGAACGCGCUUCGGCACGGAUGCUGGCGUAAUGGUUGUAAGCGGCCCGUCUUGAAACACGGACCAAGGAGUCUAACAUCCACGCGAGUGUUCGGGUGUCAAACCCGUGCGCGCAGUGAAAGCGAACGGAGGUGGGAGCCCUUCAGGGUGCACCAUCGACCGAUCCUGAAGUCUUCGGAUGGAUUUGAGUAAGAGCGUGGCUGUUGGGACCCGAAAGAUGGUGAACUAUGCCUGAAUAGGGUGAAGCCAGAGGAAACUCUGGUGGAGGCUCGCAGCGGUUCUGACGUGCAAAUCGAUCGUCAAAUUUGGGUAUAGGGGCGAAAGACUAAUCGAACCAUCUGGUAGCUGGUUCCUGCGA
rnacentral:rRNA from 1 species